rnacentral:lncRNA from 1 species
UCUCCUUUUGUAGUUGAUUGGGAAAUCCUUCUAUUGCAUUGACCUGUUGUUCGUCAUCUUCUUGAAGUGUAGGACACAUGUUAGUAGAGUGUCCAGAGUGCCACAUAUUCCCCAAACUGUAGCUUGUUGAGUGUUUCCUGUAACCAUAUUUCGCACCAAAGUAGUUACCUGUGAAAUUUGAGAUUCAAGAGAAGAUAUAUUUACCUCAUUCACCUUUUUUGGGGUGUCUUGUGAGUUUUCGAAUUACUGUGAAAUGAUAGCCAU